rnacentral:piRNA from 1 species
UNUUGUAAAGCAUGGACAGUACUGGAUGAA